UAGAGGAUUAUGCUAAUGGUCAUAAUGCACUCUUACUUUCAUUUCAGUUGCAUGUUAGCAAUACCUCAAACUCCAUUUAAACCUGAACGUGGCCACAGUAAGUACAGCAGCAGCAAGAACAAUGUUUCUUCUGUGCAUGGCAACUCUGCAUAUGGGUGGUGGUAUGUGUAUGUUACAGUUAUAGAGGAAUCCAAAUUAUGAAACUUGGUAAUUAUGAUCCAAAAUAUUUAUUAGCUGUAUAAGAAAUGCCACUUUUAAAGUGUUUUGGCAAUGAAUCCCAGAAGCUGGUAAGUAUAUAAGCAAACACUAAUCAAGCCAGGUAAAAUCAAAAUGUAGUAGUAGUAUUAUCAGCGGCAAUUCUAGAAGAGGAGUCAGUCAUUGCCUAAACAAGAGCUAGGGAGGCAAAUGUCAAGAAAUUCAGCAGUCACAUGGCACUUAAUUAGUAUGAAUGGAACAUAUUAUACAGAUGAUGAUCAGGUCUUUAUGACUCAUUUAAAAUGAGAUUAGUUUCAGGUUUAAAUCAGAAAUUCAAGGUAUUUGUUGCAUAUAAAGCAUCUUUCUCAGACUUACUGUUCAUAAUGUCCUUUUAAACUGAACAACCAUGGGCAUUCCUGUUUGUUAGUUUGUUAUUUAUAAUCUAAGUGGUCAAAUGGUAACUGAGAAUCUGCUAGAAACCCCCAUAUGAUUAUUUGUAUCCUCUUCAGAAACAGAAGUGACUAAGUACCACAAUGUUUUCAGGGUCAGAGUAUACAAAAAAGCACUUGAUGCUGAAAUUUCCCAAUGUUUCAUUUAACCAUUUUCAACCUGCAUGAACUGGUUUUAAAUUUGUGGAAAGAUACAUUGCAUUUCAGUUUGUCAGAUCAAAUACAAAUGUUUCAUUUAGACUUUUGAUAUGUACCCUUCAGCUUCUCAACAGCUUCCUGGUGCUCUUUCAGGUGCUGGGUCCCUAUCCCAAGGUUUACUGUCUUCAGUGGUAAAGAUAUUUCUGCAUCUGAACAUGGGAAACCGACUCUGAACAGAAAAAAAUGCUUGUCUUCCUUCCCUGCAGCAGCUGGAGUAGUGCAUGACAAAGCAAAAUGAGAUUACUAGCAGAGAAGCUGUCACUGAUCUACUUGCUUUCCUCUGAGGACCAUAGCUGUGUAGAUGGUUAAGACACAACUACAAUUUUCUUCUACAGAUUUAGUUUGCAACUUCCGGCUGUAUACGUAGAGUGAGUAAUUCACCCUGCACCUCUCUCUUUUUUUCUGCCUCUCUCCUACAGCUACACAAAUAGACACUCAUGCACACGUGCUAGAUUGGUCAGACACUUGAGCCAAACCCAGACAGUAUUUCAGAUCAAAAGUCCUGGCUAAAGCACUGUUUUUGCUGCUGCAAGUUGAGGUUUCUCUGUUCGUAGCACAGAGACAAGACGGCUUUGUGCAACAUUUAGGGCUGAGGGAGGCAAAAGUGGUGCUGUUGGGCUCAGGACUGUCUGACAGCUCUCACAGGUAUGCAUGCAUAUACAAACAACACUAACCUAAGUUCUCCACCCAGAUAUUUCUAAUUUGUUUUGUUAUAUACCUUUAUUUGGCAUUCCUGGUUUAGGGGGACUUCUUUAUUUCUCUUUAGAGACUGUAGAUCUUUCUUAUCAGUUAAAGCAAAUGAGAAGUCACUCUUACCCUUGCUCAUCUACAACAGCUUAUUACCACACAGCCACAGAUUGUGAACAAGGCUAGACUGAUCACUGGGUUCUUCCAAUGGGAGGCAAUAAUGAUAGAAGAUUUAAAAGCAAUAAAUAUUCAUCUUUUCUCCUAAUCAAGUCCUCUGUAACUCUGUCCUGUGAAUAAAUGAGCAGCAUGAAGAAAACCAUACCACAGUAAAGAUUUUAUCAAUUGGUU